UACGAAGGGGGCUAGCGUUGUUCGGAAUUACUGGGCGUAAAGCGCACGUAGGCGGAUUGUUAAGUGAGGGGUGAAAUCCCAGGGCUCAACCCUGGAACUGCCUCUCAUACUGGCAAUCUCGAGUUCGAGAGAGGUGAGUGGAAUUGCGAGUGUAGAGGUGAAAUUCGUAGAUAUUCGCAGGAACACCAGUCGGCGAAGGCGGCUCACUGGCUCGAUACUGACGCUGAGGUGCGAAAGCGUGGGGAGCAAACAGG
rnacentral:rRNA from 1 species